rnacentral:lncRNA from 1 species
GAAAGGAAACGUCUUCGAACUAUUGUUUCCAAAAGAAUCUUUCAUAUUAGUUUUUUCUACAUAGUUUCUUCAGAACCUUUUUUUUUUCAUUUGGAUUCCACUAGGGGGAAAAAGAGGGAGAAGCAAGCAGCAGGACAGAGCAUUUCGCCGGCGCCAACGACCCGCCCCCAACAUUCGUUGCGACACGCUUCGAUGCUGCAGGCUCCACCGUCGCGUCUCGCUGUGUUGUGUUUAUUUGCAGCGCAUGCAGCACUCCAGUCUCGCUCACUGAUGAUCAAGCUAAGCGCGGCGGCUCAUGAAUUUGUCGUCUUGGUAAUUCGCGCUUGCUUAUCGUCGUGUUCGCCACCAACAACCCCAAGAACAUGCACAUCACC